rnacentral:rRNA from 1 species
AGGACGAACGCUGGCGGCGUGCUUAACACAUGCAAGUCGAGCGGAAAGGCCCUUCGGGGUACUCGAGCGGCGAACGGGUGAGUAACACGUGAGCAACCUGCCCCUGACUCUGGGAUAAGCCUAGGAAACUGGGUCUAAUACCGGAUAGUACCCCCUGUUUCAUGGUGGGGGGUGGAAAGUUUUUCGGUUGGGGAUGGGCUCGCGGCCUAUCAGCUUGUUGGUGGGGUGAUGGCCUACCAAGGCGACGACGGGUAGCCGGCCUGAGAGGGCGACCGGCCACACUGGGACUGAGACACGGCCCAGACUCCUACGGGAGGCAGCAGUGGGGAAUAUUGCGCAAUGGGCGAAAGCCUGACGCAGCGACGCCGCGUGGGGAUGAAGGCCUUCGGGUUGUAAACCCCUUUCAGCACCGACGAAGCGCGAGUGACGGUAGGUGCAGAAGAAGCGCCGGCUAACUACGUGCCAGCAGCCGC